rnacentral:rRNA from 1 species
UACGGAGGGUGCGAGCGUUGUCCGGAAUCACUGGGCGUAAAGGGCGCGUAGGCGGCGCGGAUAGUCGGCGGUGAAAGCCCGGAGCUCAACUCCGGGUCGGCCGUCGAUACUUCCGGGCUUGAGCACUGUAGAGGCAGAUGGAAUUCCGGGUGUAGCGGUGGAAUGCGUAGAGAUCCGGAAGAACACCGGUGGCGAAGGCGGUCUGCUGGGCAGUUGCUGAC